rnacentral:rRNA from 1 species
AACAAACGCUGGCGGCGUGCCUAAUACAUGCAAGUCGAACGGGGAAAGCUUUCGGGUGAGUACUAGUGGCGCGCGGGUGAGUAACGCGUGGAUAAUCUGCCUUAGAGUGGGGGAUAACUAGUCGAAAGAUUAGCUAAUACCGCAUAAGACCACAAGAACUGAGGUUCAAGGGGUCAAAGGUUUUUCGCUCUAAGAUGAGUCCGCGUAAGAUUAGCUAGUUGGUGAGGUAAUGGCUCACCAAGGCGACGAUCUUUAACUGGUCUGAGAGGAUGAUCAGUCACACUGGAACUGAGACACGGUCCAGACUCCUACGGGAGGCAGCAGUAGGGAAUAUUGCACAAUGGAGGAAACUCUGAUGCAGCGACGCCGCGUGAGUGAUGAAGGCCUUCGGGUCGUAAAGCUCUGUCGCAAGGGAAUAACACAAUGAAUGUACCUUGCAAGAAAGGAUCGGCUAACUUCGUGCCAGCCGCCGCCGUAACAC